AAAUAGAAGCAUGUUUGUCUUUGCGCCUCUUUAGUUUAGUGAUUGAAUCUGACCUUUUGGUUGAAAUCGAUCAACAAGAAAAUAGGCAAAGCUACAUCGGGUUCUCUUUUGUUUCCUCGGCCCAUCAAUUUCUGGUGAGUAGACAUUUUCAACUUAAUUUCUGUCGUUUAAUACUCUCUGCAUAUGUAUUAGUAAUGGAAAAUAGGCAAAGUUACACCGGGUUCUCUUCCAUUUCAGCUGGGUUCUUUAAUGCUUGAUUUUCAGCUCAAAUGAAGCAAUCAGUUUGCUUAUCAGCACAUUCGCCGAAAAAAGCAAUAAACGAUGCAAUAAUUAACAACUACAAAAUUUCUCAUCUUAUCGAACAGAUUGAAGGAGGGAAUGAAGAGGAGGAGUAUUAACAAGGGAGAAGCAAUUUAAAGUAGAGACAACUCCAAGUGAAGUUGAAUACAAGCACCAUCCCACAACUUUGCACUCCAAAACAGAGAAUAAAGGCAAAGGCUCCAACAAAAAGAGGCGGGAGAAUAGUGAAAUCACAAUAGGAUAUAAUGACACAAGAGUUUUGUGCAACAAGUGCAAGCCAAACAAUAGAGAGAAAAGCCACCGUGGUUGCAUCACACCAAGAUUAUUAUAUUCAUCAUAAGUUGGGUCCUCUUCUGGUGGAGGAUUAAGAGAGGAACAAUGCAAAAUUCCAGUGGUUGAGCUUUCACAUAAGCUAAUUCCAGGAUUGAAGUUUUCUAUAGUUGAGCUUGAGAAAUGUAAACGAGCUUGAAAUUUACUGUCACAACUUGAAAUUCAAGUAUUGCAUCUUGACUCAGUUUAAGGAAUUUCAUUUGGUAUCA